CCAGUAGCCAAAAGGAAUAAUAAAUUCUGAUAUGCCCAUGAGUCAAUGAGAGCUGCUAUAGUCCGAUAGGCUGGAGGUGCCUGGCUGUCAAAAGACUGUGAACUCUUCAAGGCAGUGAGAGAGAGUCCCUAUGUACAUAUACAGUGCCUGGCACAAGGAGCCUCCUGGUGCUAUUAUUGGAAUACAAAUUGCAUGAACAUCGAGUCUCACUGCACUAAUUCAAGGAGCUUCUACUAAACUGAGGCUCCAGAGGAAGAUUGUCACAAAGAAACAAAAGUGUAACAGCAACAAAUGAGAUUUUAUAGGAGCAAAGUGUUCUAAUAUCAAGCAGAUCAAUUACCAUCAAGAAUUUAAUAAUACAGGUACAUCUUCUCCACGAUGAGUAUGGAGGUGCCAUAGAUGAAGAGCGCCCAGACACUGGUGACACCUGGGAACUUCCAGUUAAAGUUGACCACAAACUCCCAGGC